AAUUAAUGUAAGUAUAUAUUUUUAUGAUUAUUAGUUAAGAUCUUUAAAGUAAAAAAAUUUGGCGGUAAUUUAAUCUAGUUAGAGGAACCUGUUCUAUAAUUGAUAAUCCACGAUUAAAUUAACUUAAUUUUUAAGUUUGUAUAUCGUUGUAUAAAAUAUUUUAAAAGAAUAAAAAAAUAUUUAAAAUUUAAAAAUUUUUAAAAAAAUUCAAAUCAAGGUGCAGUUUAUAAUUAAGAAGAAAUGGGUUACAAUUUUAAUAAAAUUUGGAAGAUUAAUUUUAAAUUAGUAAAGAAAAUGGAUUUAAUAGUAAUUGAAUAUAUAUAUUUAAAAUGAUUAAGUUCUAAAUUAUGU
rnacentral:rRNA from 1 species